GGAUCUAUGAUGACAACAGGUAAGUGAUGACAAUGACUGACUUAGAAGAUGCGAUCCGAGGUCC